rnacentral:rRNA from 1 species
UACGUAGGGGGCAAGCGUUGUCCGGAAUCAUUGGGCGUAAAGCGCGCGUAGGUGGCCAUUUAAGUCCGCUGUGAAAGUCAAAGGCUCAACCUUUGAAAGCCGGUGGAUACUGGAUGGCUAGAGUACGGAAGAGGCGAGUGGAAUUCCUGGUGUAGCGGUGGAAUGCGCAGAUAUCAGGAGGAACACCAAUAGCGAAGGCAGCUCGCUGGGACGUUACUGACACCUGAGGCGACGAAGGCGUGGGA